GGCAAGCUUCGACCAGCCUGGCUGAGCAAGACAAGGUAAGAAAAGUCCUUGCUGACCUCCCUUCUCCCAUUUCCCUUUCUUCUACCUCCGACCAAAUGAAAUUCCAAACCAAAUCCAGCACCAAAACGUGAGAUACACAACCAAAACAGGAGGCAUGGGACGAUGGCAAGCAUGGCCAGUACCAUGGCUCUGACACGCAUGCGCUGACUGUGCGGCCUUGCCUUCCACUUCUGCUUCGCUGGCUCCCACACGCCCAGCCAACUUCGAUUUGUGACAAAGAGGGCACCAGUGACAGCAGAAGGUGCCAGAUUGCCAUGCGAUUUGUGCGUCAAUUGGAGCUGCAUGGCUUCUAUUUUUGCUUCUAUAUUAUGUGUAGCAGGCUUUGAAUUUUGCUUCGAUAUUUCAAAUUUGGGAGCAGCUCAGCCGUUGCGUGGAUGUGGUAAGAAACCAGUUGCUGCACCGCAUGACCUUGCUCAUGCAGGAGAGCCGAGCUGAUUUGGCUCUCCUGUGUGAACCAGGAUAUACUCGCCAAGCCAGGCAAGAUUGCCGACCAAAGCAAGUUUCUCACUUGCUAGUCGCUACCAAACAGCAGUCCUUGCCAAGCGAGGCAAGGAAAGGGGCUUGUGCAGGAAUCAAACAUGUCCUAAGUCAAGAGCCCCCUGCGGGGCCUGCCGUUGGAACACCUACACAUCUCUAGCUGUGCAAUCACUGUUGCACACCAGAACCCAGAACCGUGCCGCACUGUACCAAGUAUUAUGUAUCACUUACCACUACACAUAGGGAGAAAGAUCUUUUUCCAAGUAUUUUUCAAUGGCUAGAGCAUAUUGUAUAAUUUGAUUCUUUGCUUAUUUUUCACUGACCCAUGAACAUAUCCAUCUUGUUUUUUUUGAUAGAAAAUAAGCUGUGUGGGACUUUCCAACAGUUCUGUGUAAAAAAAAUAUAUAAUAUGCUCUUUUGGCUCCCAUUUCUAACCUACCCAAACUUGCUUCGAAUAUAAAAGCUUUGUUGUAACAACAAUACGUAAUUUAGUUCUUUUACUGAGUGCAGAUCAGAUGCAUAUUUUUCGGAAGCAUAGGAACUCUUGGGUGUUUGAACAUACAAGACCAAGCAUUACAGAGUUGCUCCGGAAAGUGGCUGAUGAGUGUGUUUUGUGGGGCAUGGCUGGAGCUUCUAAGCUUCAGGAGUUCCUUGCCAGGUCGCUAUCCACAGCCAAUUAGGCUGUGCUGCUAGGUCGUUAUGUGAUAGUUUCUGUGGUGCACCUGUAAGCUAGAGGCUUGUGCGUGUAUGUGUGUGCGUGGUGUGCAUCUUUGUUCUGGGCCUGGCCUUGGCUAGGCCCCUUGUUC
rnacentral:lncRNA from 1 species